CAGUGUUGGAGAGUCUCCAUCCAGCUGGGUCUCUGUCACAGGGAAACCCACGACUACAAGUCCUCCUACAACCCCCUCUUCUGGCUUCAACACUUCUUCCCCUCCCCCCUCCAGUCCUGGCUCCUACCUCGUAUUGUGGUCCGCUGUUCUGGUUCUCCUGGUUCUCCUGGUUCUACUGGUUCUGCUGGUGAGACGAUGCAUCCGUAGGAAACCUAAAGCUGAAGUAGAAGCUGGAGAUGAUGACAUCACAAUAUCACGUAACCUGCAGCAGCCAAUCAGACGGAGCAGAGAGAGUGAUCCUGCUGCAAUCUACUCCGGAGUGAGAACAGGAGACGUCUGUUAUGGACAAAUAGUGAUCAAAGACAAGAAAUCAAACAGGAAGAGAGAUCCUCCAGCAGAUCCAGAGGUCCUCUACUCCUCACUGAGGUAGACCUGAACACCAUCACACCAGUCCAACCAGUGGAGUCCAGCCGGCCAAUCACUGGUCCCCAGAGACCCUCACACCUCGCCACAUUCAUCUGUUUGAUUUCUUAUUAAAGCUAAAUGACAUUAUUGCAGCAGCAAAGAGACAAUCCUCUUAUAUUUAGAGCAUGUUUGCGUUCUUUCAAUAGGAUUGUGCAAAAAAUACUUCCCCUAUUAGUGUUUUGUACGGUUCACAACACCAACAAAUAUCAACUGAACAGAGUCUAAUAAUAAUAACUAUUUACUGAUAUUUAUAUAUUGUAUUAAUGAGCUUGUUUCU